AUUAAUAGUUCACUGAACUUCUUUAUGGGUAUUAUUCUGAAUUCUUUGUCAGUUAUUUCAUAAAUCUCCAUUUCUUUGGGGUCUAUUAUUGGAGCUUUAUUAGUUUCUUUUGUAGGUGUCAUGAUUCCCUGAUUCUUCAUAAUCUGUAUGUUCUUGUAUUGUUGUCAGUGCAUUUGAGGAGACAGCCCCCUCUUCUGGCCGUUACAGGUGUUCUUGGGAAGGGAUAGACCUUCACUAUUUAGUCUAUCCUAUGAUUCCAGAAGGGUCAGCUGAUCAGUUAAGUGAUGCUGAUGCUGCUGAUCUAGAGAUUACUUUGGGAACUAGAAACCAGUGGAUCAUAAGUUAUUCUUAGCUUAUAAUCUUUCAUUAGCUGUCUUCUGUCUACAAAAGUUCCAAGACAUCUGUCUGCUUAUUUGAAGUACUUAUGAAAAGAGCACUUUAUUGGGCUUCACACUCAAGAUUGUUAAUAGAUCUGAUAUCUAUUACGUAUCUCAUACAUAUUUCUGUUAAUGAACACCCUAGUGUGACAACUGGUUUACUUGUCUGUCUUCUAUUAGUUAAUGAACUCGAACAUCACUAUCUCCGGCACCCAGCAGUGUUUGGCAUAUAAUUGCCCAGUACAUAGAAAUGAGAUGCCUGGCUAGCUUAAUAGAAAUAAAAAAAUUAAUUAAAAAAAAGAGAGAGAAACGGCACAACAGGUGGCAGUGGUGGUGACUGAUAGGGACAGGAAGGAAAGGAGGAUUAGGAAUAUAAACAUGGAAUCAGAGUAAACAGGAUAUUGAGGAAAACUUCUGUCAUGCUCAUUCCUGUGAACUACCCUCCUCUACUCCUUUAUUUACCCACCUUAGACCACCCAGACUAGUCAAGUAUCUUCUUUCCUUUUCCAGUAUCCCAGUUCACCCAACUGAACUUUUGCUAUACCAUGCUUUCCACAAACAAUUUUAACUUGCCAACAAAGAAUUACAAAAAAGGUCAUUCUUUAAUGAUUACACAUUUUUCUACUAUCAGUGAGCAAAUAUAGUGUCCCUUCUGUUACAUGAACUAUAAUAGGAUAUCCGGGUAACUAGUAAUUUUUCUCUCUUCCAUGAACGUGGCCCCUACAAAAACAAAACAACAAAACAAACAAACAAAAAACAGCUGGAAUGUGUAGAACACGUUGAACUAAACGGUCUUAUGCCCCGUAUGCUGCCAUAUCUGGAGGUGAGGGUAGGAGGAACUUUGCAAUUCCAUUAGCCAAAAUUAAUUUUUAUUUAUUUCUUAUAUCCACUUACUUAUUUAGCCAAGCCAGCAUCUGGUUCUGUGCUAUUCCCUUAGGAUAGGACCAAGACAGAUCAAGCCAGAAGGGGCAUCAUAUUAGUUCAUAAGACUGGUCUGUUAUCUCUAAUCAGGGUUUUCUGGGUUACUUUCCCAAGCUGGAGCCAAGUUGGGGCAAUUUUGAUGAGAUAUCUCUGUGCCCAUGCCACCCAUUUUGCUCUCAACUGCUGAGUAAUCUCAUGAAAAUGUUGCUGCCAAGAGAAGCAUAUUUUCAAGAUCCUACAGAAAGAAUAGAAAGAUGGCAGAUUCCCUACCCUUCCCACCCCUACCUCAAGAACCACUAUAUUUAGGCUGAACUACUUUAAAAAGCAACUAACCUAAUAUAUUUUCUUGCUAUUCUUCCAAUAUACCAACUUGUCCCCACCUCAGGGCACUGCCCUUUCUGCUACUGUAACAUGGAAUUCUCCCCAAAGCUAUUUAUAUGAUUCAGUCUUGCUUUUUCUUUGCUUAAAAAUCAUCUCCUCAAAGAUGCCUUCUAGCAGUGCUAUUCUUACCACUAUUUCCUUGUCCUGAUUUCCCUUUGCUACACUUAUCACUACUACCAGGGAAUGUUAUAUUACACAUAAAUUUAUUUGCUGUAUUUUCUGCACCACCUAACUCCCCCACCCCCACGCAUAUUGUAAGCUCUGUGCAAGUAGGACCUUUGCAUUUCUCAUUCACUGCUAUAUCCCCAGGGCCUAAUAUAGUGCCUACUGGUUAAUAUAUAUUUGUUGAAUGGUU
rnacentral:lncRNA from 1 species